rnacentral:rRNA from 1 species
AUUGAACGCUGGCGGCAGGCCUAACACAUGCAAGUCGAGCGAACGGCGGACGGGUGAGUAAUGUAUGGGGACUGCCUGAUAGAGGGGGGUAACUACUCGAAACGGUGGCUAAUAUCGCAUAUUGUCGGAUAACCCUUAUGGGAUUAGCUAGUAGGUAAGGUAAUGGCUUACCUAGGCGACGAUCCCUAGCUGGUCGGAGAGGUUGAUCAGCCACACGGGGACUGAGACACGGCCCGGACUCCUACGGAGGCAGCAGUGGGGAAUGUUGCACAAUGGGCGCAAGCCUGAUGCAGCCAUGCCGCGUGUAUGAAGAAGGCCCUAGGGUUGUAAAGUACUUUCAGUCGGGAGGCGUUACCGACAGAAGAAGCACCGGCUAACUCCGUGCCAGCAGCCGCGGUAAUAC